rnacentral:rRNA from 1 species
AGGCUUAGACAGCUAGGAUGUUGGCUUAGAAGCAGCCAUCAUUUAAAGAAAGCGUAAUAGCUCACUAGUCGAGUCGGCCUGCGCGGAAGAUGUAACGGGGCUAAGCAAUUCACCGAAGCUACGGGUAUCAGCGCAUCACCUGAUGCGAUUUGCUGGCGUGAUUCACUUUGUGAAUGACGCCCAAGCACCCAACACGUUGAGUCGAAAGAUGCAACGGGGUGUUUAAGUCGUAUGAGGGAUGCGCUGAUGCGGUAGAGGAGCGUUCUGUAAGCCGUUGAAGGCGAAGGGGUAACCCACGCUGGAGGUAUCAGAAGUGCGAAUGCUGACAUGAGUAACGAUAAAGGGGGUGAAAAACCCCCUCGCCGAAAGACCAA